rnacentral:rRNA from 1 species
GGGGAAUAUUGCACAAUGGGCGCAAGCCUGAUGCAGCAACGCCGCGUGCGGGAUGACGGCCUUCGGGUUGUAAACCGCUUUCAGCAGGGACGAAGCGCAAGUGACGGUACCUGCAGAAGAAGCACCGGCUAACUACGUGCCAGCAGCCGCCGUGAUACGUAGGGUGCGAGCGUUGUCCGGAAUUAUUGGGCGUAAAGAGCUUGUAGGCGGUCUGUUGCGUCGGAAGUGAAAACUCAGGGCUUAACCCUGAGCCUGCUUUCGAUACGGGCAGACUUGAGGAAUGUAGGGGAGAAUGGAAUUCCUGGUGGAGCGGUGGAAUGCGCAGAUAUCAGGAGGAACACCAGUGGCGAAGGCGGUUCUCUGGACAUUUCCUGACGCUGAGAAGCGAAAGCGUGGGGAGCAAAC